rnacentral:rRNA from 1 species
AUGGGCAUGGAGGGGUGCUGCGACAAGAAGGUGAUGGAGGAGGAGGCCCUGGUGAAGAAGAUCACCGGCCUCGCCGCGGCCAUCGGCGAGCUGCCCUCGCUGAGCCCGUCGCCGGCGGUGAACGCGCUCUUCACCGAGCUGGUGACGUCCUGCAUCCCGGCGAGCACCGUGGACGUGGACGCGCUGGGCCCGGAGGCGCAGGAGAUGCGCGCCCGCCUCAUCCGCCUCUGCGCCGACGCCGAGGGCCACCUGGAGGCGCACUACUCCGACCUCCUCGCCGCGCACGACAACCCGCUCGACCACCUCACCCUCUUCCCCUACUUCAACAACUACAUCAAGCUCAGCCAGCUGGAGCACGGCCUCCUCGCCCGCCACGUCCCGGGCCCCGCCCCGGCCCGCGUCGCCUUCCUCGGCUCCGGCCCGCUGCCGCUCAGCUCCCUCGUGCUCGCGGCGCGCCACCUCCCCGACGCCUCCUUCGACAACUACGACAUCUCCGGCGAGGCCAACGAGCGCGCCAGCCGGCUCGUGCGCAACGACGCCGACGCCGGCGCGCGCAUGGCGUUCCGCACCGCCGACGUGGCCGACGUGACGACCGAGCUGGCGGGGUACGACGUGGUGUUCCUGGCGGCGCUGGUGGGCAUGGCCGCCGAGGAGAAGGCGCGCCUGGUGGAGCACCUCGGGAGGCACAUGGCCCCCGGCGCGGCGCUCGUGGUGCGGAGCGCGCACGGCGCGCGCGGCUUCCUGUACCCGGUGGUGGACCCCGAGGAGAUCCGGCGAGGCGGGUUCGAGGUGCUCACCGUGCACCACCCGGAGGACGAGGUGAUCAACUCCGUCAUCAUCGCGCGCAAGGCGGCGGCGCCGGCGGCCGUUGCCGCCGACGGCGACGUGCCGGUGAACAACGGCGGCAUGCCGGCGCAGUGCGCGGUGGCGGUGAGCAGACCGUGCCUCGGCUGCGCCUGCGAGCUGGGGACGAGGGCGCACCAGAAGAUGAAGGAGAUGGCCAUGGAGGAGAUGGAGGCGUAG